GGAUUCCCCUAGUAACUGCGAGUGAAGCGGGAAAAGCUCAAAUUUAAAAUCUGGCAGUCUUUGAUUGUCCGAGUUGUAAACUAGAGAAGUGUUAUCCGUGCUGGACCGUGUAAAAGUCUCCUGGAAUGGAGCAUCAUAGAGGGUGAGAAUCCCGUCUUUGACAUGGACUACCAGUGCUUUGUGAUGCGCUCUCAAAGAGUCGAGUUGUUUGGGAAUGCAGCUCAAAAUGGGUGGUAAAUUCCAUCUAAAGCUAAAUAUUGGCGAGAGACCGAUAGCGAACAAGUACCGUGAGGGAAAGAUGAAAAGAACUUUGGAAAGAGAGUUAAACAGUACGUGAAAUUGCUGAAAGGGAAACGCUUGAAGUCAGUCGCGUCGGCCAGGAAUCAACCUUGCUUUUGCUGGGCGUACUUUCUGGUUGACGGGUCAGCAUCAAUUUUGACUGCUGGAAAAAGUUCAAGGGAAUGUGGCAUCUUCGGAUGUGUUAUAGCCCUUGUUCGCAUACAGCAGUUGGGAUUGAGGUACUCAGCACGCCGCAAGGCCGGGUUUCGACCACGUUCGUGCUUAGGAUGCUGGCAUAAUGGCUUUAAUCGACCCGUCUUGAAA
rnacentral:rRNA from 4 species